UUGAGUUUGUCUGCAAUGGGUGGAUCUCACAAAACCUCUCCAGGUUCCCACAUUCUCAAAGUUGCUGGAGUGACAAAGGGAUUCAGGAUAUCAAGCCAACGAUUAGAAUUUCAAGCAUAAGACUCUGCUACAGGUACAUAUCUUAAGGAUUUCAGAAGCCAGAGUGCUAAUGUCACCAUCAAAAGCUGUAGUUUAUCAAUGCAUAUCACCCCUUUUUUGUUGGAAGUUUCCUGAGUCUAAUGUCCUGAGUGUGCAGAAUUAUUACCAGGUCUUCUUUUUGUAGCAAUUUCUAACUGACUGCCCUGCACAUAUUAAAUGAAUGUGUAUAGCUCAUCAUAAUGGAAAGGAAGAACAAUGCACUGGUGCUGGGCGGCAGUGGGGGUUGGGGACAUGAAGGGGGUUGCAUGUUAAGCUCAAGCAGCUUGCAUUUCCUGUUUAGUGGGGUUGGGUGAAGGUUUUCAGUAGUAAGGUCUCAAUGCUAACCCGAAUAGAUAGCCUCCUUGGUCAUGCCCAAGGAACUGAGAUUUGGCCUCUGGAUACCAGAUAGAGGUUUUAGUAUUAGGGAACUUCAGGAUCAACUGCUCCCCAUUUCCAGCUGUUUGUUUCCAUUGUCCUUUGUCCUUCCUUCCAAGGUUCUCCCUUUAAAGUCAGAUUAAACAAUUUCUCAGACCAGCACAUGAGAGCCUCAAAGGAUAAUGUCAAAAACAUCUUAUUCUUAAUACUCUUUUCUGUUUGCAGGAAUCCUGUGAAUUUCCAAGGGGACCUGGCAUGUAAGGGUGGGGAUGACUCAGAAAGGCCUAUGAAAUUCAGAAGCACUUGACAAUUUAUUCUCCAAAUACAGCCAAAUUCAGACUCUGGGCUCAUUCAACUAGUUUUUUUUUGGUGUGUGACUGCAAAGGCGUUUUCUGUCUACAGCGAGUGUGGAGCUCUGGGGGGCUGCCAGGGCACAGAUAACCAACAACUUAGCUCUGUUCACUCAGCAUCAACCAGGUUAAAAGGAAUGAGGGGAAGCCAAGGAAGCUUCUCGUGGAAAUGAGUAGAGCUGCUGGAGAUGCUUCUCGGGAUCCCACCCUGGUUCGUUUUUCUUGAUGUGUGGUUCCUGGACUUGGUGGAUUUUAUUUUAAAAAUAAAAGCCUCCUGAGACCAUGCUAGAUCUAGUGAAUUACGAUCUCAGGAGCCAAGCCCACGCACCAGGAUUCUUUACAUACACACCCCAAGUCAGUCCAAGGCGGAUGCAAGUGUCAAAACCUAUGUUAGGUGCUCAGUGACGAAACCUUCCACUAUCACAUUUGUUUGGAAAAUGCUGCAGAAGAUGCUGUUCUUCUCCUUCCCUUGGAGGCUCAUGAUACAUAUUAGCUAUCAGCAGAUGUAAGGUUCUGAUAAAUCCUGAGGCAAAGAGGCUUUUGUAUGUUUCUAUAACCCAGUAUUUCCCACACUAUUUUGAACACAGAAUCCAGGUGCAUCAAGCACCUUUGAACAUCCCUCAGACAUGUUUUGGAAGCAAUGAAUUACCCUAAUAAUGCCUUUACCACACGUCAUUGGAGGACCCUACCUCCCUAGGUCUCACUUUUCUUCUUUCCUGCCACAGACCACCCAAACUAUUGCAAGAGGGAAGUAGGCUCAAGAAAGACAGCAGUUACUUUUCUCUCUCCCUCUCUCUCUUUUUUUGGGGGGGGGGGACUAGUCACUUUUUAGAAUCAUAACUUGCUUCGGUUAUGUGUUGGAAGCAAUGUUGCAUAUUCCUUCCUCCCAUCUCCAUCAUUUAUGUGGAAAUAUCACAUCUUCACAGGGGCUUCCCUUGAAUCAUUCCAUCCAAAUGAUAUCCAGCCUUAAGUCCUUUUUCAGGACACUCUCCUUUUUGUUCUUCGCCCCUACCACAUUUCUACUUAUAUAUUCAUUUGUGCAAAAGGGUGAUUAAUGUCUCCCCUGGCUAGACUAAGCUCUCUGAAGGCAGGGUGUCUGGUCUCAUUUGUUCAGUGGGGAGCCAGGACUCAG